AAACGGCGCCGUUUCGUCCAGCCUUAGAGCUUCACUUUCUUCCUUCUUUCUUUUCUCUCCCAGCGCCGUGCACCUCUCCUUCACUUCAUUAUGUUUUCCUCCCCUGCUGCCGACGGCUCCUUCUUCCCCUUCUUUCCAUUUUAGUUUUUCCUCAUUUCUUUCUUCAAACCGGAGUGUGCUGUAGAGUUUUUCUUCAUUUUCGUUGGUACCAUCUUUGGUACCGUAGACUUUGAUGCAGAUGAGGAGGAUGAAGAUGAGCCUGGGGAGGCGGUUCUGCCGGAGUACUGAUUUGGAGUUACUUGUAGUAUUGAAAAUUAUUUUACUUGCCUUUAUAUUAUGUAUUUUAGAUUUGAGACAAUGUUGAAGCUUGUAGUAUUUUAUUACGCUUGUUUUAAGUGAGUUUGUAUUUAAAUAAAUUCUGGUACUUAGUUGAAAGAAUUUUUAUUA